UACGUAGGCAGCGAGCGUUGUUCGGAGUUACUGGGCGUAAAGGGUGUGUAGGCGGUUCUCUAAGUCUGGUGUGAAAUCUCCCGGCUCAACUGGGAGGGUGCGCCGGAAACUGGAGAGCUAGAGUGCGGGAUGGGAGAGUGGAAUUCCUGGUGUAGCGGUGAAAUGCGCAGAUAUCAGGAAGAACACCCGUGGCUAAGGCGGCUCUCUAGUACGGUACUGACGCUGAGGCGCGAAAGCGUGGGGAGCGAACAGG
rnacentral:rRNA from 1 species